rnacentral:rRNA from 1 species
AGUAACGGCGAGUGAAGCGGCAACAGCUCAAAUUUGAAAUCUGGCACUAUAAGGGUACGAGUUGUAAUUUGGAGAGGA